ensembl:lncRNA
UGUUAGUACAUUUUUACAUGAUAGUACAUGUUUACGCUAUAAAUCUAGUGUUUUGCAACGUUUUCUGUGAGGGUUGUGUUUAGGGCUUGGGUUAGAAGACAGAAAAUAUGAUUAACUUCAUAUAAAAAACAAUGGAGAUCUAUCAGAAGACCUCAGUAAUGUAGUCAAAUAAGCCUGUGUGUGUGUGUGUGUGUGUGUGUGUGUGUUUCAGGUCUGGAUCAGUUCUGCAGUUUUAAUCAAUCUGAUCCCUGUUACGCAGCUCUGGGACACAAACUCAAUCUGCUGAUGGUGCGAGACACUCGAGAAUAUGACCUGAGGUUACGUCACAGAAUAAAUAACACACAAGAUGAUCCAGUUUGUAGAGUAAAAUAUGGCAGGAUAAAGGAAUGUGAUCUUUAUAAUAACAGAACUGAAGUGAACAUCAUUAAUGGGACUGUGAUAAUAAAGCGUGUGAUCAGAGCAGAUUCUGGGAAUUACAGAUUAACACUCACUGACUCAGACGGCACAGACACAUCUAGAGAUCUUCAAGUGAUUGUUGAAGCUCCUAUUGGCUCAGUGAGAGUGUCAAUCAUCUGCUCCUCCAGUGGGGUGAUGAGGGUGUUCUGCUCCUCUGAGGGGGAUCAGCUCCUCUACAGCUGGACUCUGAAUGGAGAUCCACUGAUGGAUGGAAACAGCAGCAUUGAUCUGGAUGAGGGAACUGAUGGAGACAUCAGCUGCAGCGUGAAGAACCACGUCAGUCACGCACAGAAGAACAUUAGAGCCAAACCCUGUCCUGGACCAACUACUGCAGCUGUGACCUUUAGUUUGACCUCUACGUCGACACAGACAUCAGAAUAUGGUACGAGUUUCUCAUCAGCUGAUAUGAAUGUCACCUACACAACUGCAUUUUCUUCCAGGAUGUAUGAGUGCUGAGCUACAACACAUAAUGUAAAUAACGAUGAAAUCUAAUAAUAAUGAUGGCAGCGAGGGAUCUAUAGGAUCUAUUAUUUGUUUUCUUUCCUGAAAUUAAAAUACCAUAAUAAACAAAAUAUGCGAUUGGUUUUUAAAAAUCCA